GUUCGAUGUAAACACUCAAUGGUGAUGAACACCUCCUACUUGCGAUGUGUGGCACACAAGGAGUCAAUACUAGUCGUGCACUCUACAGGCACUUGCUGCGGGAAAUCAAGAAGCUUCCGGCUGAUGCCAGGCCGCAUUACAGGCACCAUGUGCGGCAGGGUUUUAACCAGCACAGAGAUGAGACAGACCCAGAAAGGGUGCAGCAAAUUAUCAAUCAAGCUGUGAAAGAUGCCGUCUGGCUUGUUAAUAAGUAUUCAAGGAAGCCGUCGUGACGCGUGAUACCCUGCUUGGUAAAUGGACUCUUUGCUUGGUAAGAGUGCGCACAUUUGUGAAAGUGUAGCCAUGGUUGAUAAUUGGUUGUGCCAUCUUUGCCUUUGGGGUUUGUUAUUAUAAUAAAGUUUCUCUGGGUCUUCGUCAGAUUUAUUCCAUCACGCUAUUUACGGCAUUUCUGUCGGUACCGAGGCUUCAAAAAAAAAAAAAACUUUCAGCAUUGUCAGCAUCGAAAACGUAAUCUGCCACGAGACCUGCACCGUCACCCCAUUCGCGAUUUCCUUAGAAUUCCUGUUCACUCUCAACUGGCGCAUUGUGCUUCUCUAAAUGAUGCCUCGGUCUGCAGGGCGGUUGUUGGAUGUUUGUCUUGUUGCGACAUCUGUGUUUAUAGUGUUUCUACUCCCCGCCAGGUGAUUCUUUUUGUUGUUUUACCAGGCCAUCGAGCUCAUUAGAAAUCGGAACUUGAGCUUGUAUGCUGUGGAUUUGGUCUGUUUUGUCGUGUGGCAGUACUCAUUGCAGUUUUCGUAGCUGCAAAUGCGUCCAUUUUCGAUUCUAUCAGCUGAGUAUGAUAAUAUUUUGUACCCUGUGCCUCGAACCUUUCCUUCGUCGUUCGCGCUGAAUACCCACAGGUACCGUAGGUAUGUAGGUCUGACUCGUGCCAGUCGGAUAUAAUAUUGUGUGAUGUGUGGACAUGGCUAUAUAAUAGACUGCUUUGAGGAAGGUUGGAUAGAACA
rnacentral:lncRNA from 1 species